AGAGUAUAUUAGGUUGGUGCAAAAGUAAUUGUGGUUUUUGCCAUUACUUUCAAUGGCAAAACUGCAAUUACUUUUGCACCAACCUAAUAGA
rnacentral:pre_miRNA from 1 species